ACGUAGGUCACAAGCGUUGUCCGGAAUUACUGGGUGUAAAGGGAGCGCAGGCGGGAGAACAAGUUGGAAGUGAAAUCCAUGGGCUCAACCCAUGAACUGCUUUCAAAACUGUUUUUCUUGAGUAGUGCAGAGGUAGGCGGAAUUCCCGGUGUAGCGGUGGAAUGCGUAGAUAUCCGGAGGAACACCAGUGGCGAAGGCGGCCUACUGGCCACCAACUGACGCUGAGGCUCGAAAGUGUGGGUAGCAAACAG
rnacentral:rRNA from 1 species